AAGCGCUUCAGUCACGUGACCCACAAUGGUAUGCUGCCAUGAUGAAUGCGCUGACCAARGAACAAAAUAACGAACUUCAGCAAGUGUUUAUGAUCGCUGACCAAAGAACUGCAGCAGCAGAGUCGAAGCGUAUUGAAGCACAAGGAGGAUUCACUUUCCAGAACGUAUCAGUGCCAUCUUCAUUUACCUUUGGUCAAAACUCGAGCUGAAUAAAGUCAUUAUUAUGACAGUAACAAAA